UAUUAAUGAAUAAUCGUAAUUGAAUUUUUUUUGUGGAUUAAAACCUAAUAUUUUUGAUAUUUGGCAAGUCAAAUGAGAAAAAUAAAAAUCAAGUGUGAUUACUUUCGGCACAAAAGACUGAAAUAACAAUAACGGAGAAAGUCUUGUUGGAUAUACUAUAAGGAGAUAAAGCUGUCGCUUAUUACGUUUUAUAAGCCCGCUUUUGAAAGGAAUCUAUCUCCUGGCAGUAGUUAAUUCGAGGUAUUCUUUACUAAAAUCGUAAGAGUCGAAGUAAAGAUCUUACGUAGAGCGGAUAAUUUUGAGAAGUAAGUAGCGAUGGGCAAUGAUAAUCAAGAAAAUAUCCAAGGGUGAGACAGGUGUUGUUUCACUUUCCAGAAUCGACAUCGCUGUAUCUUCCAGGGUCGGGCGCUGUUUAUCCGGUGGGUCCGGAGGAAGAUUGGACGGAUUCCAUCUUCAGUUGGCUGAUGCAACGGGUGUCAGUGGCGAGGAAAAAAGAGAAGAACGGGAAUGGAGGAGCUUGUGUCUGUGCGGAAAAAGAGAGGCGCCGAAAUAGAAAAUAAGUAUUUAUAUCCGCAGUGGAAGAGCGGGAGCGAGACGCCCAUCUUCCCGCUGCCUCGACGUCCACCUUCGGCGGCUGCACCGGCCGCCGCGCCCUCUAUUACCAGUGCCUCACCCCUUAGUUGGUACAUGGUCGACGCCGUGGUGGAGUAGCAGUGUGAUCACGACUGCGCCGCUUUACCGGCCACACACAGCUUGGUUUCCCGGAUCGCGCGCGAUCAAAGGUCUUACGUACAUUUAUCGGACCGUCGGAAUCGCUGUUCUCCUCUUUGCGGCAGUGGCCCUUACCAGAAGAUGUGAGGAUCCUAAUCGCCGGUGGCGGUGGCGCCGUUGUCUGGCGUGAACGGAUGCUGCCCAGCCAUCACGUGCCCUGGAACUGUGUGGGUGGAUGCGCGGAGGUCGGAGGGGUUUGACCUCCGUCAGCUCGACCAGCCAUGGCAGCCGUGGGAAUAUGGUCUCAAGCCGGAGCCUCCGGUGCCUCCGACAGUCAGAUUCCUCACGACUACUUACACGAAUGCCAUUAUCUGUAAGUGACCUUUAUCUUUUCUAUCCUAGAUUAAAUACGUCUUUCCGACCUUUGGGGGAAAGAAUAAACGGCAGGCAACAGGUGGUGGAGACGCUCUUUGAUCUAGAAGAAAAUUACGAUGGCGCUGUACGAAUUAAUUUUCGUCUGUAACGGAAUCCGGGAGAAAGCCAUGGACGAAAAAAAUUUUUUUCCUCCAAAGGAUUCGAAUCCGAAAUAGCGGUUGCGGAGCGCAACCGCUCUGGAAGGCCGGGACUGUGUCGGGGAGAAGGUUAUUAAUAGCCUGGAUUCUACCGACCGACAACAGGUGUGCCGCGGAUCGAUCGGCGGCUUUGUUGCAUCUGCACCGCGCGACACCAGAGUUUUAACUCCAGUUUCUAGCAACCCGGCCGCAGUCCGGCGCGUAAAUUAAGUCCGCGGAGGCGGUGUUCGUUACCGAUUGGUAUCCGGAAAACUCCCAACAGUAGCUCUUUUUCAUCUCCAUUCUCUCGGCUCAGUUCUUCUACAUGACUGAGAAGGGAAUCGUCUAUCAUUUCUCCUUUGCCAACUGAUAGAAAUGUCUUCCAGGAUAAUUAUUUUCAUUUCUUUAUUAGCAAAAAUCUCUUUUCUCAAAACAUAGUUUGAAAUGUUUACGAUUCUUGCUGGCCAUCGAUUUUUCGGGCCAGUUUAUAUACUAUCCAUUAUUUAAGUCGACAAUAAAUAAUUCUUGAGUGAGACACUUUUAACUCCUGUUUACAAAAACAGAGAAAUAGAAAUCCGGAAAAAUCUUCAUUAGUUUGAACGGUUCGGUGAUGUUAAACAUCUCAGCAGCGAUAAUUAUUUCCUGGAUAAAAUCCUCAAUCAGAAGUUCCAUUUUUCUUCCGCUCGAUGUUUAUUAUUUCUCCGCUUUUGUUCCUUGGGUAUCGAAAACCCGUUAUCCAUUUUAUGUUCGAGAAAAUUGUUCUCCAGAGGGAUUUCUCCUUUGACCUACCGUUAAUUCGGAUCCAGAUAAACGGGAUGUGGGAAAAGAAGUGACUCCAUCUAUCGGCAGACGAGUCAAUUAAAACCGGUCUGAUAAGGCAGUUAGGGACCGACCCAGUCGGAAAAUCUAACUGUAUAUAAACAACAAAUAAAUAGACAGUCUCUACACCGUGCCGACAUGGAUUUGACCAAAAUCGUCAUAGCAACCGUCCGGGUAAAUUCCGGGUGCGCCUUGCGCACGGAUGUAGGUCUUGACUGGAUUCGUCGGUGGAAGAUCGGUCAUCAUUCAAAAACAAGCCACCUAGGAGGAAGAUUAUUUUACUCGUCAUCCAGCCAACUGACAAAGGACGCAGUCCGAGCUGGAUUGGAAUAGGUCGAUCCGUAAAGUCGCACGUUUCACCCCUUGGCUUUUUGUUAUUUUUGGUUAUGAUGCUGCUGGAAAUCUUUUAUCGGGGCUCGGCCUCCUUCCAAUCGGAAACACCCUCUUUCCGCUCCCGACGUCACUAGUGCGUCAGAAUGACGUCAACGUCGUCUUGCGGAGAAGGCUAGGAUGCGUUCACUGUAACCCGAGGGGUAGCACCGAGAGCUCGAUCUUCUGCUCGCCAUUUUUACUUUUUUAAUCCCCAUUGUCGGCGUAUAUCGUAUCCUGUUCCGGUUAGGGGACGUGACGUUGACUAACUGUCGUCCAAGCUUAAAAAUAAACAAGAGGAUAUCCAUUCAGUCAACUGAUUUGCUAAAUUCCAUAAGUUACUCGAUUAAUGCCCACGCGCGUGGCAUCGAAUGCGUUUAUUUUCGAUGCGGCAUUAUCUCGUAUGUGGUAGAUGCGUGAGCGAAGUGCGUCUGUUGUAUAUCGGUGCGUGCCUGUGCUAUGUCAAAUCACUUAGUAGAGAUGCGGCCACUCUUUAGCGGUUUGAGCCAUUUAUCGAAAAUAAAGAAGGAUUUUUAGCCAUUUAAAGGGCGCCAUUUUGCGAUCGAUAAGGAUUGUGGCAGUUAGAGUUAGAAAUCAUCUAAAGGGGAAAACAGAUUAAAAAAUGAAGUAAUGGGAGUGAAGUCUUUGUCGACUAACUUUCUAGAGAGAGGAAAAAAAAAAGGAAUCGAUUAUGAUCCAUGCAAAAUCUUCUCGAAUACAGUGGCACGUUUACCAUUAGACGUAAUAGCAGCGCUCUUAGCACCCCAAAUUUUUUCAGGGGUCCGAAAAAUUGAAAAUUUUUAACACUAAAUUAGAUGUAUAAUUCAAAAUUGGAGAAAUCUCUAGUGCAUAGGGGUCUCGAGAGAUAUGGCACUACUGGCUCGAAUGCGAUAAUAAGAUUAAUUUGAGCUGACAGGCGAAAAGUUUACCAACCGUUAUAUAUUUAUUUUUUGACGAUUAUAUAUAUAUAUAUUCAAAUACUAUCGUUUAAGAUCUUCCUUUAAAAUGUUGGAAUACGAUAAUUUGAUCUUCCCCUUCCUUGCCCAUUCUUAAAUUUAGAUCCGUUCGAAUUUUUCCUGGAUUGUGUCAUGCAGAAAAAUAUGGAAUUCUCUGUCGCAUGUUGGUUAUUUUUCACGUAUAUCGAUUAAACGUAACCGAACAGUCACGAGAAACCUGAUUGUUAAACCAACCUAACAGAGAUAAAUACCCACGGGUCGACAGGAAAUGCGGUCCCGUUAGUCAAUAGGAAUCGCUCCUUUCUUGCUCUCUCUAACGACGUUAGGACGUUAUCGUUCCCGGUGAAUCGCUUGUAUAAAAAAAAAAAAAAACAGAUACAUAAAUAUUGCACAUAACGGAUCUCAGAGAUGCACAGUAUUAUUUUCUCUUAUACUUCUAUCGUUGUCGUUUGAUCAAUUGCAUUCAAAUAUGAUGACUAGCAAUUACUGUGGAAGUCCAGGAGUAGAUCUAGAAUAAACUGCUAGAGUAUAAUCACAUAAAUAAUAAACACUACAUACGUGUCAUAUAUUACUUUAAAAAUCGAUAAAUGCUACGAUAUAAUAAUCCUUUUAUGCAUUUUUGUAACAGUUAAUAAAUAUUGAUAAUUAAUACUGUUUUGUAACUACAGUAUACUCCCGAUCAUCCGUGAUUGGGUUAACCGCGGUUAAUCUGCCACUCGGAAGUGAUGUAAAAGAUGCAAUACCUUAAAGAUUUUUUAAUGCCAUCCGGAUUUGUUUGUUACAUCUUAGGUCAGUGGCUUCCAAACUUUGUGUCUGCCUCCUUUUUUUUUUUCCAUUAAAAAAUUCGGUAGACCCCUCAUUUUUGUAGAAGUCUGAUUUUAUAAAUACAUUCUACUUAUAAUUUAUUACUACAGAACAAUAUACCAUAUUUUGUAUAAAUAAAGUUCGUGUGCAUGAAAAAUGUCAUGAGUGGGCUGGUU
rnacentral:lncRNA from 1 species